UUAUAGGGAACAAGUGGGAAAGUGGGGGGAACCAAAUACCCUUUGUGCAAAAAAAAGGCUCUUUUUUGGAGUCCGUGCAAGGCAAAUCUGGUUUCCCUUUUUUUUUUAUUUUUUUUAUUUUUUAUUUUUUAUUUAUUUUUAAAUCAUGCCUUGAUCCCAUGCAAUAUGUAUUUGGUUAUGAAAGUUAAUAUAAUUAUGAUGAUGAGAUAAUGAAAGCAUGCAUGUGCAGUAGGACCAUGGAUCAGAUGAAAGUUGUAUCGGAGUAGGGUGAAUUUCGGGGUAUGACAGUUGCCCCUAUUUAAUCUUCUCGAACCUGAAUGUUUAGAUAGCAACGGCUUCCACACAUCCAAGGUAAGAGAGGAUUAAAUAAAUAAAAAUAUCCAGAAAUUCAACCUGCUGGGAAUGAAAUGAAUGUG
rnacentral:lncRNA from 1 species